rnacentral:lncRNA from 13 species
UUAUCACAGAUGGGCAAAAGGCGUCUAUCCCUCCUUCUCUCUUAUCCUUCUCUCCAUCCCUUUCUUCUCCAACAGCAUCACACCCUUCUCUUCUUCCCCAUCCAUCCUUUCUCCUCCUCCAUCCAUCUCUCAGCUUGACGUGCAGAGGGUGUAACCUGUAGUCGAUGUUGAGGUUCAGACAGCAGGUGAAAGAAUGCUGAGGGUGAGGCAGAUGAGACCUAAUGACCUAAUACUGUUCACAAUAUUGAAGAAGUGCUAUGAGACUCUCAAAUAUCAAAUCAGUCAAUUGAAGGCCUGUGUGAUCAAGAAAAUGGCAUUGAGUAUCGGUGGUGUUUCCUCUCAACCUAGGUCUGUGACUCAAAGUGCACUCUAAGGCCACCGUUGUACGACAAGAGUACGAACAGGCCCUGUUUUAUAUGCAGGAGUCCAGUGAAGAGGAGGAGGAGGAAGGAGGAGAGGAACUGUGGGAUCUAGAAGCAGACACAGAGCUUGUGAUCCUCAGGGCUUGGUCCUGAGCAGACAGAGAGUACAGAGUGGCAGCAGUCCAGGCCAAGCGGGCAGGAGACAUGGAGCUAGCCAGACGUUACUAUCGGACAGCAAAGAAAUUAGAGGUGAUGGUUGAAGAGGCAUCUGAGAGGAGUGAGUGGUCAUCAGCUCUAUACAGUCCCCUGCUGAUGUCAAGAACAGAAGACAAGGUACAAGUCCACUCCCAGCCCCUCCCAGUGCCUCCUGGGGCCUCAGACCAGUACAACCAGCUGAUAGAGGUCCUCACACAGCAACAACAGGUUACUAUAACACUUCCUUUAUUACACAAUGAAUUACAAUGGUUAUCACAGUACCCUAACUGACUCUGUGCCUCUCCUCCCUCCAUCAGACGUGUCUGUGCCAGCAGUUCACCCACAUGGGGGAGAUCACUGAGACAACUAGGUCUGUACUGGCCCUUUUCAUUACCUCUUGUGCAUUGAUAAACGAUAUAUACGUUAUAUAAGGAUAGCAGACAGGUGGACAUGUGCUGCCUUAGGACAGGUCAGACACGCAGAACGACACCGUUGAUGUGAGAAUGUGUAUUGUUUAGACAGGUUGGAGGUGCUGUCAGAGGGGUGUAGGAGACACCUGGGGGUAGUGAAACAGGUACAGAGUAGGGGACACCUGUUACCCUCAUACAGAGAGGAACGCACCUUCAACACAUACAGGUACACUACCAACACACACAACACACCCA